GUAAAUGUAAGUUAAACAGACUAUUACCUUGAAAAGGUAAAGGUGAACAUUAAAGUUUCAUUACCG
rnacentral:tRNA from 1 species